AGCGAACGCUGGCGGCAGGCCUAACACAUGCAAGUCGAACGAACCCUUCGGGGUUAGUGGCGGACGGGUGAGUAACACGUGGGAACGUGCCUUUAGGUUCGGAAUAACUCAGGGAAACUUGUGCUAAUACCGAAUGUGCCCUUCGGGGGAAAGAUUUAUCGCCUUUAGAGCGGCCCGCGUCUGAUUAGCUAGUUGGUGAGGUAAAGGCUCACCAAGGCUACGAUCAGUAGCUGGUCUGAGAGGAUGACCAGCCACAUUGGGACUGACACACGGCCCAAACUCCUACGGGAGGCAGCAGUGGGGAAUCUUGCGCAAUGGGCGAAAGCCUGACGCAGCCAUGCCGCGUGGAUGAUGAAGGUCUUAGGAUUGUAAAAUCCUUUCACCGGUGAAGAUAAUGACUGUAGCCGGAGAAGAAGCCCCGGCUAACUUCGUGCCAGCCGCCGCGGUAAAAC
rnacentral:rRNA from 1 species